CUCAUGGAGGGGAACACACAAAAGGGCUUUGUGACAGCUCUUCAAGCAUGAGGGGAAAUCUGUGGGAUGAAGAACCAGGAACGUGGUCACAGUCAUUUGAGGCCACUGGCAGGGGGAGGGGGGAGAAAAUAGGAGGAGUUUGUUUCAAAUUAGGCCUGCCUCCAUUGAGCCUGUGGUUCAUUCCCCCUGUAGCAUGCAACAAAGCAGCUUAGGUUUAGGUCAAUUUAAAAAGACAGGGAAUCGCUUCAGGUCUGUCACAUUUGGGGCUUUGAUGGUGUACUGUACACCAGUACUUUGAAGUGGACCUGGAAAGAAGUUGGCAGGCACUGGACCUCUUCAAGUCACUCACCAGCCUAAGGAGACUUCCUCCAACUUAAGCAGUUCUUCCGGCAGAGCAGCAAGACACCAGUGGCCAUUAUCACUGGGGGCAAUGCAGCAGAAGUUGGGCAUAUGUGAAUCCUCUUGAAACCAGGUAACCCAAAUGCUGUGCUGAUGUUGCCAUUAUAUAGCACCUAUAGCAUGUUCCUUCACAUACCUGGAUGUAAAGGCAAUCUGGCUGCAACUUCUGUCACCCAUUGAUUUCCAGCUUGAUUGGGCUGCUCUGGCCAGCUAGGCGGGUGUCCCCUUCCUCCCGCAUCAUUCCAUGUGUGUCUCUCCCAAAGCUGAAUGCUCGAUGGAAGAGCAUGACCAUCCCAGAUAGGAGUGUACUGUUCUUUGGUCAUGGGUAUAUGAUAGCUUCACAUACCUGGAAGGAUGACUUGUGUGUGUGCAGCACCAUGUGACAUAUACUAUAAAGGUUGGCAACCCUAACUAUGUAAUGGGAGUUACUUUCCUGCAGGUGCUUAGGAAUACAGACUUAGAUAGGCCUGAGUCUCCCUGAAUCAAUCCUCUAUUUUAUGUGUAUCUUUUUUAAAUUAAACUAGUUCGCUGUUUUUAUACUUGUGAGAAUGUCAAUGAUUGCAGGACUAGUUUGCAUGCAGCAAAUAAGAACAGUGAGAGAGCUUCUUCCUCCUGCCCAACCUGUGGAUCUAGGUGAAUCAUAUUGAUAACAAUUUCGCUUAAAAAGUUAAUCCUUUGCCAACUGUUUACAUCACCACACUCUUAAAUAGAUGGCAUCAUGCACCUUCUUUACUUACCCUCAUCCUAUUCUUGCAGAUAACUGAAGCCCAGAAAUACCAAGUCUACAAGCCUUUUUAAGGCACUACCUGUCCCUGUAGCCCUGAAUGGAUGAGUAAUGCUGGCUCCUGGCAUAUCUAAUAACUGCAUUCCUGCUGUAUGAGAUGGAAAACAUUUUUCUGUGAUGCACAAAGAACCCAGUGAACUUAGUUACUGGUAAACUGCAGCCUAGGCAAUGUGCUGAUCUGUCAUGGUUUGUGGCAAGAUGCCCAGCUAGGUAAUAAUGUGCCCAGCUGAGGCACCAAUGGAUUUAGGGAUCUAUUGAGAAGCAAACUUUGUCCCAGGGAAGGCCCAUUGUGGGCACAAACUGUGCACUUUGAUAGGAAACCUUCUGCACUGCAAACCAAUGGGGAAAGGAAAAUUUUCCUAGCCAAACUCAGGAAAUAAUUGUUGAAUUGCAAGGAAGGAUUUCAUUGGGCCACCCCAAACUGAUAUUUUUUAUUCUCUGGAACUGACAAGAAGGAAAUAAGAACAAGGGAAGGUCUUGCGCCCAAGUGGGAGAAUCUGAUAAUGGCAAAUCAGUCAGCCACAAGUUUAAAAAAGGGAAUGAUACAGAAGACAAAAACUGCUUUUAAAGACUGUGUUUUAAAGACUGGCCAGUCUCUUGUGCUAGGAGGUUUCAUUGGCAAAAGCUUACUUCAUCAUACCCUACACAACUUACAUAUAUUUUAAUUAGGCUCACAGGGAACAAUUUGCCUGUAAUUCAUGUUCAUCUCUAAGAUGCCACAGCUGCCCCCCCUUCCCCCUGUUGCUAUAGGUUUUUUUCAACUAGGUAUGGCUCUGAGCAUUAUUAGAAAACGAUGGUGAUGUAUCAAGUACUGUGCAGGAUUCACAGAGCUACUGACAAGAGUUUCUAUGCCUGUUUCAGGAUUCUCACUGUAUCCCAAUGCGCACCCUGAAACGCACUGCCAGAAAAUGAAUCCCGUGAAAAGGAGACCGACAGGUCCCCGGAACUCAUGUUAUGCUGUUAAGAAACAAACAAGGGGAAGAGGCAAAAAUUGCACCUUGCUUUCAGUGACAAUGUCGAACUGUCCUUAUAUGCACUGGAAAUGUACACCGUCAUAACUGCAGCAAAAAAGACAUGCUAAAGCACAGUCUUGAGACCUUCAAAACAUCACAAUGCUUCUUUAAGUGGUCCAUCCCCCAUUCCCAACUCUGUCAAGGAAGUUAGACUACUAAAGAAUGUAUGUGACUAAUCCAAAGUCACCCAGCAAGCUUCAUGACAAUCCUCUGAAGAGCAUUUGCUGAAACCUUCGUUGAUUGAAAGCUCUCCUUUUUGUCGGCCACUCUUAUGAUCUGAGAAAUAAUGUUUAUCAGUAUGAUCAUCCCAGAAAGAAGACCUUAGACUGAUUAUCAAGAACAAAUCCUGAUGUAGACAUCCUUCAAUCUUUUUUUAAGUGUUAUUUUUGCAACUGCUGGGUUUAAAUAAUCAAAGUAUCUUAGGGAAUAUCCAUAAGACCAGUUGUUCAAUCCAAAGAAAAUUAGAGACACGGCUUAACCUUCAAAAAGUAAUAUUUCAAAUGACCCUGAGAUCAGGAUGUAGGAUUUCCAGC